GCCCCCGUAGCCCAACGGCAGAGGCAGCCGACUUAAAAUCGGCGCAGUGCGGGUUCGACUCCCGCCGGGGGCA
rnacentral:tRNA from 1 species